rnacentral:tRNA from 1 species
CGGAGUGUAGCGCAGCCCGGUUAGCGCACCUGCUUUGGGAGCAGGGGGUCGGGAGUUCAAAUCUCCCCACUCCGA